rnacentral:rRNA from 1 species
UUCCGGUUGAUCCCGCCGGACCUGACUGCUAUCGGAUUGAUACUAAGCCAUGCGAGUCAUUGUAGCAAUACAAGGCAUACGGCUCAGUAACGCGUAGUCAACCUAACCUAUGGACGGGAAUAACCUCGGGAAACUGAGAAUAAUGCCCGAUAGAACACUAUACCUGGAAUGGUUUAUGUUCCAAAUGAUUUAUCGCCAUAGGAUGGGACUGCGGCCUAUCAGUUUGUUGGUGAGGUAAUGGCCCACCAAGACUAUUACAGGUACGGGCUCUGAGAGGAGUAGCCCGGAGAUGGGUACUGAGACACGGACCCAGGCCCUAUGGGGCGCAGCAGGCGAGAAAACUUUGCAAUGUGCGAAAGCACGACAAGGUUAAUCCGAGUGAUUUCUGCUAAAGAAAUCUUUUGUUAGUCCUAGAAACACUAACGAAUAAGGGGUGGGCAAGUUCUGGUGUCAGCCGCCGCGGUAAAACCAGCACCUCAAGUGGUCAGGAUGAUUAUUGGGCCUAAAGCAUCCGUAGCCGGCUCUGUAAGUUUUCGGUUAAAUCUGUACGCUUAACGUACAGGCUGCCGGGAAUACUGCAGAGCUAGGGAGUGGGAGAGGUAGACGGUACUCGGUAGGAAGGGGUAAAAUCCUUUGAUCUAUUGAUGACCACCUGUGGCGAAGGCGGUCUACCAGAACACGUCCGACGGUGAGGGAUGAAAGCUGGGGGAGCAAACCGGAUUAGAUACCCGGGUAGUCCCAGCUGUAAACUAUGCAAACUCAGUGAUGCAUUGGCUUGUGGCCAAUGCAGUGCUGCAGGGAAGCCGUUAAGUUUGCCGCCUGGGAAGUACGUACGCAAGUAUGAAACUUAAAGGAAUUGGCGGGGGAGCACCACAAGGGGUGAAGCCUGCGGUUCAAUUGGAGUCAACGCCGGG